rnacentral:rRNA from 1 species
UACGUAGGGCGCAAGCGUUGUCCGGAAUUAUUGGGCGUAAAGAGCUCGUAGGCGGCUUGUCACGUCGGUUGUGAAAGCCCGGGGCUUAACCCCGGGUCUGCAGUCGAUACGGGCUAGCUAGAGUAUGGUAGGGGAGAUCGGAAUUCCUGGUGUAGCGGUGAAAUGCGCAGAUAUCAGGAGGAACACCGGUGGCGAAGGCGGAUCUCUGGGCCAUUACUGACGCUGAGGAGCGAAAGCGUGGGGAGCGAACAGG